AAGUCGUAACAAGGUAACCGUAGGUGAACCUGCGGUUGGAUCAUUACUGAAAAAGAUUCGCCGGCCCCCUUCUCUUGUUUCGUUCGUUCGUUCGUUCUUUUGCAUUUGGGGGGGUGUCCGGUUUUCAACCAACCUGUUGUGAACCGUCUUGUCUCUGGCGGCGGGGUGGGGGCCAAAGUGGGGUGCGGCAGUGUGUUGUUUCGUUUGUUUGCGAACGUCCGGCAACGACACUUUGCUGAAACACCUUGUCCUUUCCCUCACCUGUCAGCCUGGGGGGCCUCGUUAAAGCGAGGCCUUCCUCGCCGUGGACAAACCGCCAACCGUGUCCAACAAACACCUGUUUUUUUCUUCUUGUCGUCGUCUCAAAUCAUAUCUGUUACAUCAAAUACAGAAACAACUUUUGGCAACGGAUCUCUUGGCUCUC
rnacentral:misc_RNA from 1 species